AGACCGAUAGCGAACAAGUAGAGUGAUCGAAAGAUGAAAAGCACUUUGAAAAGAGAGUUAAACAGCACGUGAAAUUGUUGAAAGGGAAGCGCUUGCGACCAGACUCGCCCGCGGGGUUCAGCCGGCAUUCGUGCCGGUGUACUUCCCCGUGGGCGGGCCAGCGUCGGUUUGGGCGGCCGGUCAAAGGCCCCUGGAAUGUAGUACCCUCCGGGGUACCUUAUAGCCAGGGGUGCAAUGCGGCCAGCCUGGACCGAGGAACGCGCUUCGGCACGGACGCUGGCAUAAUGGUCGUAAACGACCCGUCUUGAAACACGGACCAAG
rnacentral:rRNA from 1 species